rnacentral:rRNA from 1 species
AAUACGUUCCCGGGCCUUGUACACACCGCCCGUCACACCACGAAAGUCGGCAACACCCGAAGCCGGUGGCCCAACCCUUUAGGGAGGGAGCCGUCGAAGGUGGGGUUGGCGAUUGGGGUG